CGCCGCGGGCCGGGUCCCCAGGGGGCCGACUGGCUGGCCCCGCCCCUCCCGAAGCCCCUCCUGGCGAGGGACAGGAGGUCAGAUGAUCCCCCAGCGGGGAUCUAAUUGGUUUCUCCCAAAAGAAGGGCCUGGCUUGUAACUGAACAAAGCCCGAAGGAGUCUAUACCUUCAUCGCCCUCGCUUCCCCGCUAGAAGCCCCCCACCUGCCACGGCUUCUCCCCUAAUGCCUGCUUCCGGGGCGUUCUUCUGCCAAGAGGCUGGACUCGUGGGACUAAGGCCUAAAUACCUGCCAUUCCUCUCCUGACAUACCCGCCCACCCGAGUUGGGACCCGCGCCCUUUGUGAGAGCCUCCGGCUGUAGUGUCUGGGUUGUCAGUGGUCCCCGAUGGAGCUGAAACAUUCUUUGUGACACCAGCAAUUUUUCCUCAUUUUGUACCUGGACUUUUGUAGCAUCUGGCAAGAAGUGGUGGAGUUGGUAUAGAAGAUGGUGAAGGGUGGCCAUAAAACCUCUUGGAUUUGGAGAGAAAAGGGUAUUCUGGUCUUGUGUUGAAUCUGAAGUGUGAUCUGGAAACAUCCACUGGCUUCUAGAGUGAUAUUGUUUGAUCAACUUCUUCCAAACCCACGA